rnacentral:rRNA from 1 species
UCCGUAGGUGGCAAGCGUUGUCCGGAUUUAUUGGGUUUAAAGGGUGCGUAGGCGGUUCUGUAAGUCAGUGGUGAAAUACUCUAGCUUAACUAGAGGGGUGCCAAUGAUACUGCAGAACUUGAGUACAGAUGAGGUAGGCGGAAUUGACGGUGUAGCGGUGAAAUGCAUAGAUAUCGUCAAGAACACCGAUAGCGAAGGCAGCUUACUGGGCUGUAACUGACGCUGAUGCACGAAAGUGUGGGGAUCAAACAGG